rnacentral:rRNA from 1 species
GGGGCUGGAUUCGAGCUCGGCUCGACUCUCCCACCCAAUGUGUACCUACCUCUGUUGCUUUGGCGGGCCGCGGUCCUCCGCACCGGCGCCCUUCGGGGGGCUGGCCAGCGCCCGCCAGAGGACCAUAAAACUCCAGUCAGUGAACUUCGCAGUCUGAAAAACAAGUUAAUAAACUAAAACUUUCAACAACGGAUCUCUUGGUUCUGGCAUCGAUGAAGAACGCAGCGAAAUGCGAUAAGUAAUGUGAAUUGCAGAAUUCAGUGAAUCAUCGAAUCUUUGAACGCACAUUGCGCCCCUUGGUAUUCCGAGGGGCAUGCCUGUUCGAGCGUCAUUUCAACCCUCAAGCUCUGCUUGGUAUUGGGCCCCGUCCUCCACGGACGCGCCUUAAAGACCUCGGCGGUGGCGUCUUGCCUCAAGCGUAGUAGAAAACACCUCGCUUUGGAGCGCACGGCGUCGCCCGCCGGACGAACCUUUGAAUUAUUUCUCAAGGUUGACCUCGGAUCAGGUAGGGAUACCCGCUGAACUUAAGCAUAUCAUAAAGCCGGAGGAAG